AAUUUUGAAGGGCCGCAGUAUUCUGACUGUGCAAAGGUAGCAUAAUCAUUUGCCUUUUAAUUAAAGGCUCGUAUGAAUGGUUGAACGAAAUACAAACUGUCUCACUCUAAAAAGUUUAAAAAUUUAGCUUUCAAGUCAAAAGGCUUGAAUAAUAUUAGAGGACGAGAAGACCCUAUAGAACUUUAUAAUAUUUUUUUGUGAAUUUACAUAGUAAAAUAUUUUUUAUUUAUAAAUAUUAUUAUUUUGUUGGGGUGACAGGAAAAUAAGCAAAACUUUUUUGAAUUUUGAACAUUGAUUUAUGAAUAUUUGAUCCAUUAUUAGUGAUUAUUAGAAUAAGUUACCUUAGGGAUAACAGCGUAAUUUUGUUGGAGAGUUCAAAUCGAUAACAAAGUUUGCGACCUCGAUGUUGAAUUAA
rnacentral:rRNA from 1 species